rnacentral:rRNA from 1 species
UUUCGAAUCAUUCACAAUGGGCGAAAGCCUGAUGGUGCAACGCCGCGUGGGGGAUGACGGCCUUAGGGUUGUAAACCCCUGUCACCAGGGAAGAACCGUCACUUAUUAAUAGUAAGUGGCCUGACUUAACCUGGAGAGGAAGCAGUGGCUAACUCCGUGCCAGCAGCCGCGGUAAUACGGAGACUGCAAGCGUUAUUCGGAUUCACUGGGCGUAAAGGGUGCGCAGGCGGUCGUGUGUGUCAGGUGUGAAAUCUCGGAGCUCAACUCCGAAACUGCGCCUGAAACUACACGACUAGAGUAUCGGAGAGGUGAGCGGAAUUCAUGGUGUAGCAGUGAAAUGCGUAGAUAUCAUGAGGAACACCAGAGGCGAAGGCGGCUCACUGGACGAUUACUGACGCUCAGGCACGAAAGCAUGGGUAGCGAAAGGGAUUAGAUACCCCCGUAGUCC